AUUGAACGCUGGCGGCAUGCCUUACACAUGCAAGUCGAACGGUAACGCGGGGCAACCUGGCGUCGAGUGGCGGACGGGGGAGUAAAGCAUCGGAACGUGCCCAGUAGCGGGGGAUAGCCCGGCGAAAGCCGGAUUAAUACCGCAUACGACCCAAGGGUGAAAGGGGGGGGUCGCAAGACCUCCCGCCAUUGGAGCGGCCGAUGCCAGAUUAGCUAGUUGGUGGGGUAAAAGCUCACCAAGGCGACGAACUGUAGCUGGUCUGAGAGGACGACCAGCCACACUGGGACUGAGACACGGCCCAGACUCCUACGGGAGGCAGCAGUGGGGAAUUUUGGACAAUGGACGAAAGUCUGAUCCAGCCAUGCCGCGUGCGGGAAGAAGGCCUUCGGGUUGUAAACCGCUUUUGUCAGGGAAGAAAUCCUUUGAGCUAAUACCUCGGGGGGAUGACGGUACCUGAAGAAUAAGCACCGGCUAACUACGUGCCAGCAGCCGCAGUAA
rnacentral:rRNA from 1 species